rnacentral:lncRNA from 10 species
CAGUGCAUAUAAAAGUUAUGUUUACACCAUAGUGUAGUGUAUUAAGUGUGCAAUAGCAUUAUGUUUUUAAAAAGUACAUACCUUAAUUUUAAGAUAUUGCUAAAAAUAGUUAACGAUCAUCUGUGCCUUCAGUGAGUCAUAAUCUUGCUGGUAGAAGGUCUUGGCUCAAUGUUGAUGGCUGCUGAAUGAUCAGGGUGAUGAUUGCUAAAGGUUGAGAUGUCUUAAGACAACAAUAAAGUUUGCCACAUCAGCUGACUUUUCCUUUCACGAAAGAGUUCUCUGUAGUAUGCGAUGUUGUUUGUUAGCAUUUUAUCUGCAAUUGAAUGUCUUUUCAAAAUUGGAAUCAAUCUUCUCAAACCAUACCACUGCUUUAUUAACUAAAUUUAUGUCAUAUUCUGAAUCCUUUGUUGUCAUCUCAACAGUGUUCACAGCAUCUUUACCAAGAGUAGAUUCCUUCUCAAGAAACCACUUUCUUUGGUCAUCCAUAGGAAACAGCUUCUCCUCAUGUUAAGUCUGAUCAUGAGAUUGUAGCAAUUCAGUCACGUCUUCACGCUCCACUUCUCCUUCUAGUUGUCUUGCUAUUUCCACAUCUGCAGUGAUUUCCUCCACAGAAAUCUUGAGACCCUCAAGGGGUUCAUCCAUGAGGGUUGAAAUCAGCUUCUCCCAAACUCCUGUUAAUGUUGAUAAUUUGACCUCCUAUCAAUUACAGAUGUUCUUAAUGGCAUCUAGAAAUGGUGAACCCUUCCCAGAAGGUUUUCAGUUUACUUUGCCCAGAUCCAUCAGAAGAAUCACUGUCUGUGUCAGCUAUAGCCUUAUGAAACAUGUUUUUUUUUUUUAAUUUUAUGUUUAAAACAUGGAACGCUUUACACAUUUGCGUGUCAUCUUUGUGCAGGGGCCAUGCUAAUCUUCUCUGUAUCAUUCCAAUUUCAGUAUAUGUGUUGCCGAAGUGAGCCCAAAAUGUGUUAAGACUUGAAAGUCAAGAUUACUCCUUGAUCUAUGGGCUGCAGAAUGGAUGUUUUAUUAGGGCACCUGAGAACAACAUUAAUCUCCCUGUAUAUCUCCUUCAGAGCUCUUGGGUGACCAGGUGCAUUAUCACUGAGCAGUAAUAUUUUGAAAGGAAUCUUUUUUUUCCUGAGCAGUAGGUCUCUACAGCAGGCUUUAAAUACUCAGUGAACCAUGUAUAAACAUCCAUGCUGUCCUCUAGGCUUUGUUGUUCCAUUUAUAGAACACAGGCAGAAUAAAUUUAGCGUAAUUCUUAAGGGCCCUAGGAUUUGGGAAUGGUAAGUGAGCAUUGGCAUCAACAUAAAGUCACCAGCUGCAUUAGCCAUUGAAAAUAGAGUCAGCCUGUCCUUUGAAGCUAGGCAUUAGCUUUUCCUCUCUAGCUAUGAAAUCUUUGAUGACAUCUUCUAAUAUAAGACUGUUUUAUCUACAUGGAGUAUCUGUUGUUUAGUGUAGCCGCCUUCAUCAGUGGUCUUAGCUAGAUUUUCUGGAUAACCUGCCGUAGCUUCUGCAUCAGCAUUUGCUGCUUCACCUUGGACUUUCGUGUCAUGGAGAUGGCUUCUUUCCUUAAACCUCAUGAACCAGCCUCUGCUAGUAUUAGGGCCUUGCACUGGAUUAGGCUUUGGCUUUUAAGGGAAUGUUGUGGCUGGUUUGAUCUUCUAUCCGGACCAAUAAAACUUUCUCCAUGUCACUAGUAAGGCUGUGUCAGUUUCUUAUCAUUUGUGUGUUCAGUGAAGUAGCACCUUUUUAAUUUCCUUCAAGGACUUUUCCUUUGCAUUCACAACUGGCUGUUCCACGCAAGAAGCCUAGCUUUCAGCGUAUCUCGGCUUUUGACAUGCCUUCCUCACUAAGCUAAGCUUAAUCAUUUCAUUUCUCGCUUCUGAUUUAAAUGAGAGAUGUAUGACUCUUUCACUUGAACACUUAGAGGCUAUAAUAGGGUUUUUAAUUGGCCUAAUUUCAAUAUUGUUGUGUCUCAGAAUAGGGAGGCCUGAGUAGAGGAAGACAGGAGAAUUACUAGUCAGCAUCGCAGUCAGAACACGUUUCUCAAGUUUGCCAUCUUCCAUGUGUAUGGUUCAUAGCAUCCCCCAAUUACAAUAGUAACAUCAAAGAUCACUGGUCACAGAUCACCGUAACAGAUAUAACAAUAAUGAAAAAGGUUGAAAUAUUCCAGGAAUUACCAAAAUGUGACACAGAGACACAAAGUAAGCACAUAUUGUUGGAAAAAUGGCAUUGAUAGACUUGCCCAAGGCAGGGUUACCAUAAACCUUCAAUUUGUAAAUAACGCAACAUCUGUAAAGUGCAUUAAAGCCAAGGUAUGCCUGUAAUGUGAAAUAGUGUCAAGCGCAUAAAUCUGUGUGUGUUACUACUAAAUUAGGUAAUCCAUUUUGGGAGGAAGGUAGAAAAUCAAGAAGUAAAGAAAGGCAAGAUGCCAGAAUUUUCGGAGCAGCUUCCUAGAAGAUAGAGCUUGAGCCCUUAAAGGGUUCAGCUCCUCAGGAAGGGAAAUAAAGGAUUUACACAAGAAGUUGACUUCAUGGAAACAGCAAAGAUGUGUUCCAACUCCACUAAGAGCUGAUGAGUCACCCUCAUUCCACUUUGGGAGACUCUUUGAUUGCUGAACGUCUCACCUCUGUCUUAGGGGUUCCCCUGGUGCUGCCGGAGUUGCGGUUGACAAUAUCAGAGUCAGUGUAGGGCAGGGGUUUAUGUGAUGCUUAGAUGCUAACAAUCUAAUGCAAAAUUAAGGAGUUGAAUUACCAGCAGUAAUUGUUAGCAGAGCCCUUACCAUCUCCAUGGUAAACU